ACGCCGCGUGAGUGAUGAAGGCUUUCGGGUCGUAAAACUCUGUUGUUAGGGAAGAACAAGUACAAGAGUAACUGCUUGUACCUUGACGGUACCUAACCAGAAAGCCACGGCUAACUACGUGCCAGCAGCCGCGGUAAUACGUAGGUGGCAAGCGUUAUCCGGAAUUAUUGGGCGUAAAGCGCGCGCAGGCGGUUUCUUAAGUCUGAUGUGAAAGCCCACGGCUCAACCGUGGAGGGUCAUUGGAAACUGGGGAACUUGAGUGCAGAAGAGAAAAGCGGAAUUCCACGUGUAGCGGUGAAAUGCGUAGAGAUGUGGAGGAACACCAGUGGCGAAGGCGGCUUUUUGGUCUGUAACUGACGCUGAGGCGCGAAAGCGUGGGGAGCAAACAGGAUUAGAUACCCUGGUAGUCCACGCCGUAAACGAUGAGUGCUAAGUGUUAGAGGGUUUCCGCCCUUUAGUGCUGCAGCUAACGCAUUAAGCAC
rnacentral:rRNA from 1 species